CACGACUCACAGCAUAUUAAAUUGAAGCCCCAGGAGUAAGCUUUCCAGUAAGUUCAAGCUCGUCCUAAUCGGUGGUCGGUACCGAUAGUUAUCGCCAAUCGCACGUCGGUCGAAACUUCUUCCUUCCUUCUAAGAUGUCUGCACCUCCUUCUCCUCCUCCCUUCGAAUUUGGAUCCAGCGAUGAUGGAUCUUCGCUUCGCAUUCCAUCCCCCAUGCCUUCUCCUCCUCCCGUCUCGCAGCCUUCUGUGCCAAGGUAGAUCAGCUAUGUCUAUGUUGUUGAUUGAUACCUGGGUAUUUUCGAACCAGGCAGACCUGAGGCUCACCAAUGGACUGGGGUCCUAACAUGCCCGAUUCUCCGGUUUUUUAGGAAGCCUUGGAUAGGAGUGUUACAACAACCGUAUAUCUUUGCAGAGACUGUGUAC